UUCAUGAAUCACUUUCACUCAAUUUCAUUUUCCCCCUUCUUCCAAGAUAACCAAAUUUCAUCUCCCUCUUUAUUUAUACCUGAGAAAGGUAGGGUGUGUUUGAGCGCUAACUUUUCAAUUUUCAUUUUUCAUUUCCCUCUCAGAUCCCCUGAUUUUGUUUUCCCUUUUUUUCCUUGAAAUUUACUAUUACACAUAAUUCAAACCAAACCCCCUCACCACUCGUUGACAUGACUCAAAUUCAAGCCUUAUCCACUUCUCUUCCCAAUCUCAAACCGCAUCACCACCAGCACCCCAGACACUUCCUACUGUUUCCAGAUCUGAAAGCUUAGACUGAAGACAGCCUCUCACCAUCUCUCAAACCGCAUCGUCUCCAUCCUCCCUCUUAUUCUCUUAUAACAUUUCACUAUGGGAGCUGAUGUGUUCCUUUGACAGGACAACUUUUGAUGGCACUGUUCCCGGACCUCCAAAAUAGUAGCGUUGAUGGUUGAUUAUGGUUUGCAUGGAGUUAUCUCUUCCUUGAUGUUAUGCUUUUUAAUGAACGAGGGGUUUCACAUUUGUUAUGAUGAUAGUGUCUUUCAAGUUUCAGGUGAUGCUAAGGAGAUUCUAUUUGGUUCACAUGAAAGUAUAGAUGUAGGGCUGGACAAAAACCAGCCAUCCGGUCCAAACCGUCCGGUCCGAAUGGCCCGUUGACGUGCGGGUCGGUCUAAACGGGUCAGGCGGUCUCAACGGGCUUGCAGAUUCGGUCUUGUAUGGAUACGUACGGUCGGUCUCGGAUGACAGAAAUCCAACCACGGUAACCCAAUACCGUCCGAAAUAUACUGAAUACUCUACAACAAUCUACUAUAUAUAUGACAUAUAUAGUAAAGAAAUUCAUUUUUCAAAAUAAUAUGUCUAAUCUCACAUUCCAUUAACCCAUUAAAAUUGGACACAUCAUUUCCUUGAGACCCACGAUGCUGACACAUCACAUGCUAAUACUCUUUCUUUUCUUAUUAUUACUUAUUAUUAUUACUUAUUUACUUCUUCCAUUGACAGGUCCCACUCCACUUUCACGUUUUCAACACACUUCCCCUUCCUCAUCUCUCUUUUCUCUCUCACAUAAUUCUUCUGGCUUCUUCUUCACCACAUAAACAAAACACCAACUCUUUGUAUUUCAAUGGAAAAAAGAAAUUCAUUUUCCAAAAUAAAGAAAGAAGAAAGCAACAUUUCAAUUGCAACAAAUUCAUCAUCAUUUAAUUGUUCUUCCAUUCUGUUUUAAAGGUUGUAGUUGUUGUUGUUCUGUUGAAGGUUGUUGUUGUAGUUUUCUGAAAUUGUUGAAAUUUCAGCUUUCCAUUUGAAUUUUACUUCCUUUCAAAAGUUUUAAUUUUUGAUUGAUUUAGUAACCGAAAAAACCCACCCAUCAAAACCGAUAUCCGAUCUAACCGUAAACCGACGUAACCGUAAACACUUGCGGACGGGAAUGGGCUUAGUUUUUCCAUCCGCGAAACCGAUUGAAACCGCGAUUUCUGGCCCGAAACCGUCCGAGUCCGACCGUUGUCCACCCCUAGAUGAGAGUGAUAAUAGUAAUGACGAGAUGGGCGAAGAUGACGAAUGUCCUUUAUAUUUAUUGAUACUGUUAGUCGGUUGGUUAUGUAUAUCCAUAUUCAUUGACUGUCAUUUGUUCGAAUCCUUAGAAAUGCCAUUUUUUUUUUUAAAAA